GAAUAAGUUAAAGUAACAGCCGAUAAUGCUAUUUUUGGAUGUGUGUAUCACCUCAUUUGCAUAUUAUUUGCUGCCUUGCUCUGGAUCUGGGUCAAUCUGCGGCGGGUUCAGGAUUACUAAAAUCGAAGGUUUUGGUCAGUAUUUGAGUGUAUGAUUAAAGACUAAAGUUGGACUAUUUUUCUGUGGUCAGCAGAAUUUGGAUUAGUUCUUGUUUUUUCAUAUUGUGGUGUGUUUUGUGAGUAGCAGAGCACAGGGAUGAGUGGGGCUCCUCAAAUGAAUGGGCCCUCCAGCCCCACAGGAAAAUACAUAGACACAAUAGAUCCAGAUGAUCCCGAGUACCAGAAGUAUUUACGACGUCCCGCUGAAGUGAAAGAAGACAUCAGACAGAUGUCGGACAGAAGCCGAGUUUCGCUGAUCCUCAAUAGUGAGGCAUUUCGCAGAGAACUAGAGGAGAUCGUUGAUGAACAGUUACGACAAGGGAACGCGCCUGCCAGUCUGCUGGCGCUACAACAGAUCUCAAACCUUUUACUGCCUAACCAUAAGUUCUCUCAGGGUGUUCUUGGAUCAGGAACAACCCCAGUAAUUCCAGUGUCAGACAUUAAGGGUACGGAGGCGAUGAGUUAUACGAAGCAGGAGAAAGCGCUACGAUGUAAACUUGCCUCCUGUUACAGAUUGGUAGACAAUAAUGGAUGGACACAUAGCAUUUAUAAUCACAUCACAGCCAGAAUUAGUCAAGACCAAGAACAUUUUCUAAUUAACCCAUUUGGUAUGAACUACUCAGAAAUAACAGCAUCAUCGCUGGUGAAGGUUGACAUACGAGGAGAGGUGCUAGACCCCGGAUCGACGACGCUCGGGAUUAAUCAAGCAGGAUUUAAUCUUCACUCGGCAAUACAUCAGUUUCGCCCAGACAUUAAAUGCAUCAUACAUCUUCAUUUACCGUCAGUAGUAGCUGUAUCUGGUAUGAAGUGUGGAUUUUUGCCGCUGUCACAAGAGUCAUUGAUCUGUGGGGAAGUCAGUUACCAUGACUACAAUGGUAUUUUGGUGGACCCAUCAGAACGUGAGACUCUACAGAGAAAUCUAGGACCAAUUAACAAAGUGAUGGUAUUGCGUAACCAUGGUAUUGUAGCAUGUGGAUCUUCGGUAGAAGAGGCGUACCAUUAUGCUUUCAAUGUAGUCAAUGCUUGCAAUUCACAGAUUCAAGCAAUACCCGCAGGUGUAGAUAACUUAAUACUUGUAAGUCAAGAAAUCAAGCAGAAAACAUUCACUACAGCAAACCAGGGUGGUGGGGGAGUAGACUCGUCAGGAAAGAAAUGGAAGAUAGGAGAGUUGGAGUUCGAGGCUCAGAUGAGACUGAUGGACAAUGCUGGUUAUAGAACGGGUUAUUCAUACAAACACCCUAACAUAAAACGCGAGUCAAGAAGAGAGAGGUCAAAUGCCGAAGUUGAAGUUCCACCAGCAUCUAGUUCAUUCACAUACGUAUUUGACGGCGACGUUGAACAUUCUAAAUAUAUGUCACCUAUUAAAGCAGCAAUGGAGAGACAGAAACAGCAACAUAAAGUCGGCUGGUUAAAUUCACCAAAUGUUUACGUUAAACAGGAAAUGGAUGAAAUAGGAACACAAAAUCCUAAGAAAAUAACAAAGAUGGGAAUAGCGAAGUGGGUCAAGGACGAGGCGGAAGAUGGUUCACCAAAGAGAACUAGUACACCAAUUAAAGUUGAAAACCCUAACCAAUUUGCACCACAAGGCUCCGACCCCAAGGAAUUUAAACAGAAACAAAAACAAAUAAAGAAAGAUUAUUACGAGGAGAGGAUUAAUGCUGGACCCCAGUCUAAAAUUCUGGAAGGAAUGACGUGGGAAGAGGCUGAAAAAAUGAAGCAAGCAGAGGCGAACGGCCAUGAUGGAAGCCUGAGUGCUACAGGAGACAGUGUUAUAGUGAUAGGAGCAGCUUCCAAGGGUAUUAUACAGAGAGACCAGCAACAUAACGUACAGGUUUAUCAUUCACAAUAUGCAGCCAAUCCAUUUGAGACAAUGUCAGAAGAUGAGAUAGAGAGAUACAAAUGGGAAGUUGAACACAAAGAACAGGAUGGUUUAGCCACUGUACAUGAAGAGCAGCUUGAGCCAGGUCCAGAGGGCAAGCUUAUCUCAACAGAAGAGAGGCUCCAGCAAAUACAGCAAAAGGUAGAAGAAUCUGCUCCAACUGUGGAAGUCAGUGAAGAAGGCCACGGAGAAGGAUACAGAGUUAAUGCAAAAGCCACCAGCCCAGCUGCCGCUCAGUCCAACUUCCAGAGGUCCGAGUCAGCUAGGUAUCCACCCAAAAGUCCAGAACUUAUAGACGAGUUGAAGGCCAAGAACUUUGACAGAUCUAAGUCAGAGCGAAAAGCUAAGAAUAAAAAAGGUAAAUGGUGAUAGCUGUACACAAGUGGAAACGGGUUUAUACUGGUGCAGACUCCAGAAACUUGCAUAAAAUUACAUAGCAGAAAUACUGUUAAAAGAUAUUGCGUUAAUCUCAAACAAGAAGGCGAUGAAUGGGGACGAUGAUCAGAUGAGAUCACCGGCCAAGUCAGACACGCUCCGGUCAACUGAUAGCGCUAGCGGUGGAGAAACUCUGGAGGAACGUAGCAGUAAAGAGGGUUCACCAACCAAGGAGCACCCAUCACCAACAAAGGAAAAGAAGAAGAAGAAGAAAUUUAGAAUGCCAUCUUUUU
rnacentral:misc_RNA from 1 species